rnacentral:snoRNA from 1 species
CUUUAAUUCAUAAGCAUGAUGACAGGGUGUUCACACUAUCGUGGGAGAUGUGCCUCCUCUAAACCUUGUUACGACAUCGGCACAUUACCUGUCUGAC